rnacentral:rRNA from 1 species
GGGAAUGGGCUUGCUAAUACAUGCAAGUCGAGCGGACAGAUGGGGAGCUUGCUCCCUGAUGUUAGCGGCCCCCGGAAAAAGUAACACGUGGGUAACCUGCCUGUAACACUGGGAUAACUCCGGGAAACCGGGGCUAAUACCGGAUGCUUGUUUGAACCGCAUGGUUCAGACAUAAAAGGUGGCUUCGGCUACCACUUACAGAUGGACCCGCGGCGCAUUAGCUAGUUGGUGAGGUAACGGCUCACCAAGGCGACGAUGCGUAGCCGACCUGAGAGGGUGAUCGGCCACACUGGGACUGAGACACGGCCCAGACUCCUACGGGAGGCAGCAGUAGGGAAUCUUCCGCAAUGGACGAAAGUCUGACGGAGCAACGCCGCGUGAGUGAUGAAGGUUUUCGGAUCGUAAAGCUCUGUUGUUAGGGAAGAACAAGUGCCGUUCAAAUAGGGCGGCACCUUGACGGUACCUAACCAGAAAGCCACGGCUAACUACGUGCCAGCACCCGCGGUAAUACGUAGGUGGCAAGCGUUGUCCGGAAUUAUUGGGCGUAAAGGGCUCGCAGGCGGUUUCUUAAGUCUGAUGUGAAAGCCCCCGGCUCAACCGGGGAGGGUCAUUGGAAACUGGGGAACUUGAGUGCAGAAGAGGAGAGUGGAAUUCCACGUGUAGCGGUGAAAUGCGUAGAGAUGUGGAGGAACACCAGUGGCGAAGGCGACUCUCUGGUCUGUAACUGACGCUGAGGAGCGAAAGCGUGGGAUGC